rnacentral:rRNA from 1 species
CGACUUGUACUGUGAAACUGCGAAUGGCUCAUUAAAUCAGUUAUGGUUUCUUUGAUGGUACCUUGCUACUUGGAUACCCGUAGUAAUUCUAGAGCUAAUACAUGCAGGAGUGCCCGACUUCGGAAGGGCUGUAUUUAUUAGAUAAGAAACCUUCUCGGGUUCGCCCGGUUGUGUGCUGAGUCAUAAUAACUGCUCGAAUCGCACGGCUCUACGCCGGCGAUGGUUCAUUCAAAUUUCUGCCCUAUCAGCUUUCGAUGGUAGGAUAGAGGCCUACCAUGGCGUUAACGGGUAACGGAGAAUUAGGGUUCGAUUCCGGAGAGGGAGCCUGAGAAAUGGCUACCACAUCCAAGGAAGGCAGCAGGCGCGUAAAUUGCCCGAAUCCUGACACAGGGAGGUAGUGACAAGAAAUAACAAUACAGGGCUACUUCUAGUCUUGUAAUUGGAAUGAGUACAACUUACAUCUCUUCACGAGGAUCAACUGGAGGGCAAGUCUGGUGCCAGCAGCCGCGGUAAUUCCAGCUCCAGAAGCGUAUAUUAAAGUUGUUGCAGUUAAAACGCUCGUAGUCGGGUUUCGGGUCGGGCCGAGCGGUCUGCCGAUGGGUAUGCACUGUUUGGCGCGGCCUUCUUUCCGGAGACCGCGGCUACUCUUAACUGAGCGGGCGUGGGAGACGGAUCGUUUACUUUGAAAAAAUCAGAGUGUUUCAAGCAGGCA